AGGACGAACGCUGGCGGCGUGCUUAACACAUGCAAGUCGAACGGAAAGGCCCGCUUGCGGGUACUCGAGUGGCGAACGGGUGAGUAACACGUGGGCAACCUGCCCUCAGCUUCGGGAUAACUCUCGGAAACGGGUGCUAAUACCGAAUGUUGACAUUUCCUCGCAUGGGGGUUGUGUUGAAAGUUUUUCGGCUGGGGAUGGGCCCGCGGCCUAUCAGCUUGUUGGUGGGGUGAUGGCCUACCAAGGCGACGACGGGUAGCCGGCCUGAGAGGGCGAUCGGCCACACUGGAACUGAGACACGGUCCAGACUCCUACGGGAGGCAGCAGUGGGGAAUAUUGCGCAAUGGGCGGAAGCCUGACGCAGCGACGCCGCGUGAGGGAUGAAGGUCUUCGGAUUGUAAACCUCUUUCAGUAGGGACGAAUUUAGACGGUACCUGCAGAAGAGCACCGGCAACUACGCGCCAGCAGCCGC
rnacentral:rRNA from 1 species